rnacentral:misc_RNA from 1 species
CAUAGAUAAAAAGAUCUUCAUUAAUAAUUAGGAACUUGAAGUCCAAUACAAAAAGAAUAUUAAAAAAAGCUCCUAGGUUUAAAAGAGAUUAAGUCUAGCUAACAGAAACUCAACACAUUUAACAAGGCCCUAGUCCACUGUAAAAAAACCUUGCUAAAAUGGGUAACCUGCCCGAAAAACUCUAAACACAGAAAGUCUUAACACACAAUGCCACAAACUUGAGGAUGGGAAGGAGAUCAAACGAGCCUCACUUCAAUUUCAAGCUUUCACCGGCAGGAGAUUAGAGCAAGCUGACGCACGAUGCUUGGGUUAGACGUGGCAGAACACUUUGACAAUGAAGGUCCCAAGCAAGAUAGACCUCAGAAAAGAGUAGAGAAACCAUAGAACCAUGGAGGCCAAGAAAACUCUUCGAAAGUAGUGCAUACAGCACUGGCAGUAAGGAAGAAGAAGGAGACAUUACUUUUUGGUAACUCACUCGUGCGUUCCGGGCUGAAAACCUUCAUUGGCCACCCUACAAGCUGCUACCAACUCAUAGAAUCUUCACACUGGUUUGGUUAAUAGAGAUUUUUACAGAACAGAUGACUAAACAUGGAGACCACAACUAUGGCAAAACACCUGCAUGCAAUCACAGUCUAAGCAAAUCUAUCUCUAAACUACUCAAAAUAACUACAAUAGCAGAUAUAGAAGAUUAAAACAGGCCCAAGAAAAAACUACACCCUUACAUUGAAGCAUUGCCCGUUAACAAAUCAAAACCCAAAAAAGUAUGUACCACCCACUAGAAGUGAGGAAGGAGAACCCACAUCCCUGCAAGGAAGGCGACCCUCCCCUACCCGAAGGGGUAGGAGCUAGCCACCCAAGACGGCAGAUCAAAAGGGUGAAACCCUAGAAGCUAAAGAGAAAAAAUAGAAGAAUUACUUGAAGUAUAUGGUAAGGUUAUCCACUUAUUGUAAUGAGAAAGUGGAUAAUCAUGAUACCGUUACUAAAAUUAUGACAAAGAUUGAUUCUGGCUCUCUACAAUGUCAAAAUUAGUUGGGAAUUGUGUUGAGCCG